CACGUAGGGUGCGAGCGUUGUCCGGAAUUAUUGGGCGUAAAGAGCUCGUAGGCGGUGUGUCGCGUCGGCCGUGAAAACCUGCAGCUUAACUGUGGGCUUGCGGUCGAUACGGGCAUCACUGGAGUUCGGCAGGGGAGACUGGAAUUCCUGGUGUAGCGGUGAAAUGCGCAGAUAUCAGGAGGAACACCCGUGGCGAAGGCGGCCCACUGGGCCGGUACUGACGCUGAGGCGCGAAGGCGUGGGGAGCGAACAGG
rnacentral:rRNA from 1 species